AGCGGCGGACGGGUGAGUAACACGUGGACAAUCUGCCCCCCGGUCCGGGAUAGCCCAGGGAAACCUGGAUCAAUACCGGAUGCGAGCGCGAGCACACAGGUGCCUGCGGGGAAAGGCGCUUCGGCGUCGCCGGGGGAUGAGUCCGCGGCCCAUUAGCUAGACGGCGGGGUAAAGGCCCACCGUGGCGACGAUGGGUAGCCGGCCUGAGAGGGUGAUCGGCCACAUUGGAACUGAGACACGGUCCAGACUCCUACGGGAGGCAGCAGCUAAGAAUCUUCCGCAAUGGGCGAAAGCCUGACGGAGCGACGCCGCGUGAACGAUGAAGGCCGUGAGGUUGUAAAGUUCUUUUCGGGAGGGGGAAUAAGGGCGGCAGGCAAUGGCCGCGCGAUGACGUGAAUCCCGGAAUAAGCCCCGGCUAACUACGUGCCAGCAGCCGCGGUAACACGUAGGGGGCGAGCGUUGUUCGGAAUCAUUGGGCGUAAAGGGCGUGCAGGCGGCCCUGCCAGUCCGGCGUGAAAUGCCCCGGCUCAACCGGGGAGACGCGCUGGAAACUGCAGGGCUUGAGUACAGGAGGGGAUGCCGGAAUUCCAGGUGUAGGGGUGAAAUCUGUAGAUAUCUGGAGGAACACCAAUGGCGAAGGCAGGCAUCUGGCCAUGUACUGACGCUGAGACGCGAAGGUGCGGGGAGCAAACAGGUUUAGAUACCCUGGUAGUCCGCACAGUAAACGAUGUGCACCAGGUGGCGGGGGGUCGACCCUCGGUACCGAAGCUAACGCAUUAAGUGCACCGCCUGGGGGAGUAUGCUCGCAAGGGUGAAACUCAAAGGAAUUGACGGGGGCCCGCACAAGCGGUGGAGCAUGUGGUUUAAUUCGAUGAU
rnacentral:rRNA from 1 species